GAUCCUGGCUCAGGAUGAACGCUAGCGGCAGGCUUAAUACAUGCAAGUCGAGGGGUAACAUGGGUAGCAAUAUCUGAUGACGACCGGCAAACGGGUGCGGAACACGUACGCAACCUUCCCAUAACUGGUGAAUAGCCUUUCGAAAGAGAGAUUAAUACACCGUAACAUAAUGAAAUGGCAUCAUUUUAUUAUUAUAGGCUUCGGCCGGUUUUGGAUGGGCGUGCGCCUGAUUAGGUAGUUGGCGGGGUAACGGCCCACCAAGCCUGCGAUCAGUAACUGGUGUGAGAGCACGACCAGUCACACGGGCACUGAGACACGGGCCCGACUCCUACGGGAGGCAGCAGUAAGGAAUAUUGGUCAAUGGACGAAAGUCUGAACCAGCCAUGCCGCGUGAAGGAUGAAGGCCCUCUGGGUUGUAAACUUCUUUUAUCUGGGACGAAAAAAGCUCAUUCUUGAGCACUUGACGGUACCAGAGGAAUAAGCACCGGCUAACUCCGUGCCAGCAGCCGCGGUAAUACGGAGGGUGCAAGCGUUAUCCGGAUUUACUGGGUUUAAAGGGUGCGUAGGUGGGCAGUUAAGUCAGUGGUGAAAUCUCCGAGCUUAACUCGGAAACUGCCAUUGAUACUAUCUGUCUUGAAUAUUCUGGAGGUGAGCGGAAUAUGUCAUGUAGCGGUGAAAUGCUUAGAUAUGACAUAGAACACCAAUUGCGAAGGCAGCUCACUACGGGAUUAUUGACACUGAGGCACGAAAGCGUGGGGAUCAAACAGGAUUAGAUACCCUGGUAGUCCACGCCCUAAACGAUGGAUACUCGACAUCAGCGAUACACUGUUGGUGUCUGAGCGAAAGCAUUAAGUAUCCCACCUGGGAAGUACGAUCGCAAGA
rnacentral:rRNA from 1 species